CACGAGUGGCGCACGGGUGAGUAACACGUGGGUAAUCUACCUUCGGGUCUGGGACAACUCCGGGAAACUGGAGCUAAUACCGGAUGAGACCACGAGGUCCUCGGACUUCGCGGAAAAAGAUGGCCUCUCCUUGGAAGCUAUCGCCUGUAGAUGAGCCCGCGCCCCAUUAGCUAGUUGGUGAGGUAACGGCUCACCAAGGCGACGAUGGGUAGCUGGUCUGAGAGGACGACCAGCCACACUGGAACUGAGACACGGUCCAGACUCCUACGGGAGGCAGCAGUCGGGAAUUUUGGGCAAUGGGCGAAAGCCUGACCCAGCAACGCCGCGUGAGGGAUGAAGGCCCUCGGGUCGUAAACCUCUGUCGGGAGGGAAGAACGAUCGCAAGGUGAAUAAUCUUGGGGUCUGACGGUACCUCCAAAGGAAGCGCCGGCUAACUCCGUGCCAGCAGCCGCGGUAAUACGGAGGGCGCAAGCGUUGUUCGGAAUCAUUGGGCGUAAAGCGCGUGUAGGCGGCUUGGCAAGUCGGGUGUGAAAUCCCGGGGCUCAACCCCGGAACUGCAUUCGAUACUGCCUCGCUAGAGUCCCGGAGAGGAGGGCGGAAUUCCCGGUGUAGAGGUGAAAUUCGUAGAUAUCGGGAGGAACACCAGUGGCGAAGGCGGCCCUCUGGACGGUGACUGACGCUGAGAUGCGAAAGCGUGGGGAGCAAACAGGA
rnacentral:rRNA from 1 species